GACGAACGCUGGCGGCGUGCUUAACACAUGCAAGUCGAACGGAAAGGCCCUGCUUUUGUGGGGUGCUCGAGUGGCGAACGGGUGAGUAACACGUGAGUAACCUGCCCUUGACUUUGGGAUAACUUCAGGAAACUGGGGCUAAUACCGGAUAGGAGCUCCUGCUGCAUGGUGGGGGUUGGAAAGUUUCGGCGGUUGGGGAUGGACUCGCGGCUUAUCAGCUUGUUGGUGGGGUAGUGGCUUACCAAGGCUUUGACGGGUAGCCGGCCUGAGAGGGUGACCGGCCACAUUGGGACUGAGAUACGGCCCAGACUCCUACGGGAGGCAGCAGUGGGGAAUCUUGCACAAUGGGCGGAAGCCUGAUGCAGCAACGCCGCGUGCGGGAUGACGGCCUUCGGGUUGUAAACCGCUUUCGCCUGUGACGAAGCGUGAGUGACGGUAAUGGGUAAAGAAGCACCGGCUAACUACGUG
rnacentral:rRNA from 1 species